rnacentral:rRNA from 1 species
GCGUACGGUCACACCCCUGUGUCGACGCCCGAUCCUGUCUGAUCUCGGAAGCGAAGCGCAGAUGGGCCUGGUUAGGACUUGGAUUGGAGACCGCCUGGAACUACCCGGUGCUGUAAGCU